rnacentral:snoRNA from 1 species
AAUUAUGAGACUGUGUAAUGGACCACAGAUUAUGGUUAGUCCAGUUCUGUGUAUCUGA